rnacentral:piRNA from 1 species
UGAAUGUCAACCGAAGAAGACUAAUCAGCU